UUAAUUCUAUUAGUGUUAUCUCAUCUAAAUAUUGACAUUUUCAACACAUAAUCAGUACCAAAACUUAAGGUAUUCUUCUUUUCCCAUCUUCAAAAGCCUGUGCGUACUGUCUACCUACACAGCGUCUUGGAUUGGACUAGUCCGUUUACGUGCUGGGCGACAUAUUUAAGUGCUAGCCGUGUGCUGCAGAGCAGUGCACAGACAGGGCAUUGAGGCUGUCGCAGCAAAACCUUUCAGCCACUUCGAUUUAAGCCAGGGCUCGCGCAUGCUGAGCACAUGCCAUGCUGCAUCUUUGUUGAAAUUCACAAGCCAUAAAAUACAGCCAGGUUUUAAUAUACAAGAGUUGUUUGACGGCACCAGGAUCAAUUUUAGAACAUUUUUUGCACCCCAAAGAAAGCCGGCACCCACUUGCAGCAGCUCCUCAUUCUCCCCCUCGCCCACCUAGCACCAACUUGUCUGCAUCCUGGCCCUUGGUUUGCCUGAAUGGACUCAGCAUGACCGUUGCGUCUGGUGUCUGUUAUAUGUAGCAUAGUGUCAUCAAGGUUCAUUCGUGUUGUACAAAGUGUGAUCAAAACAAACAGCAAACGUUUUAACUUUGUAACAUGUAUUACAUGAAAAGUCAUUGCCAUUAAUUCCUCUCAAAAUACUCCCCGUUGCACACACUUAUAGAUGGAACCCACUUAUUCUACCUUCUAUGGGUCCUUCCUGGUUGUCUUUUUGAGGUGUGAUCAAAAAUACAGUGAAUGCUGCUGCCAUCCAAAGGAAAAGUAUGUCUUUGUCCACCAUAUUCACCAGACCUGACACCAUUCAACGUCUGGCUCUUCUCCACAGUCAAAGUGACCAUGAAAGGUAUUUUGAAUUAAUUAUAGGUAACCACAACAGUGCAACUAAAGACACUCACAGAAGAGGACUUCCAGAACUGCUUCAGAAAACGGCAAGAGCAACGGGAUGUGUUUGAAACCAGGAGAUUGAGGACCCGUGUUCACAACGGUCUUUGGACGUCUGAGAAAGGACGCAGAAGGCAUGAGUCAUGUCACCAGAGGCUGUGGCCCUCCACUUCCCUGUUGCUGCUGGCACCCAUGUCCCUGCUCUGCACUGUGACAGCUGGUAUUUCCAGUGUGGUGCUGACCUGCAGGUGUGAGAAAGGAGAGGGUGCUGCUGACACCUGUCCUAAAGUCCUGAGGGAUGCAUGUGGAGGAGACAGUGCCUCGUGGGCAAGGAGGAGCAAGGCCUGUGCCUGGUGACAUAGGAAGCUCGGGACUCUGACGGGGAGAAAGUGCAAGUGGUAGAAACUGGUGCAUUUUCCUUCAUUUCUUCCAUGUACCCAACUCUUGGACCCUGAGGCCAGAGGUAGGGCAGCUGCCACCCACUGUGCCAUCCAGUCAGGAAACAUCUGGGUGUGGACCGUCCAAGAGAAACUUCUGGAAAAUGCUGGCUCCACAAGCUGAAGGAACUCAGCCAGGGAGGGGGCAUCUGUGUCUCUUGGAGAGCUGGUUCCUUCCUGAAAACUAAACAUCU